AGUCAUUGAUAUCAUGUGCUUGAAGACGUGUUGGUUCGCGUUAUUUCUAUGAAUCUUGAACACCUUUGUAAAAGGAUAUUUCGCAAUGUGAAACGUUUUUUCUUCGAAAUAUAUCAACGCAUCGAUCAUGAAAAAUAUAGACGUCAUUAAUUGAGGGACACACUCUAACAAAGAACGAAAGCUACGUUCAUUAACCUUUUGUUAGUUAUGAGGAGAGGUAAAGAAAAAAAUACAAAAAAAAAAAAAAAAGAAAAAAAAAAUAGGCGAUAUUAAUAAUUAACUCUCGCCAUGAACAUACACUGUGCAAUGUUCUCAAACGAGAAAACAGGAUAUGAACGUUGGUAUACGAGCGAUCGAGUGACUGCUAUGCCCGUUACAAAUGCAAAUUCGUAAGUGCGAUCGAUAAGAAUCGAUUACGUUCUACGUCAAUAAAUUAUAAUUAAACAUUCAAUAUUAUUAUUUACACUUUCUUUGGUUGCUAUUUCAAUCGCCACAUCGCAACAUACAGUAUGCAAAUUGAUUACCCAAAUUUGAUGACUUGGCAUGACUUUUGAUAUCUUUACGAUAACAUACGAUAAUUUCUCUUAUCAAUGACCAAUCGACAGUCGAAUUUUAUAUCGAAUGGUCACAUGAAAGGCGGAUAGUAUGAUAUAAUAUUAUAUAAUGCAAUUUUUAUUUACAUAAACAUGUUACGUAAAUUAGAUGCACUUUUAAAGAACUUUGAAAGCAAAUAAUCAUCGUCGACAUCGAUACCGAAGGAAAAUCAAAAACGGUUUAUUCGCAAUUUUCAAGAAAUUUUGCGAUAAUUUCAUUCCUUUUUUUUUCUUCCUUUUUUUCUUUUUCUUUUUUUUUUUUUUUUUGUUUUUGUUUUCGACAUGUAUAAUUUCAAUUAUCCUAUACAAAUUUCAAGCUCGAAAAAUAGAUUAGAAAGGGAAAAUAUUUAUGAUCGAUUAGAAUUAAGUUACGAGCGAAAGAAAGUGAGAAUGAGAAAGAGUGAAAGAGAAAGAAAAAAAAAAUAAAUAAAAUCGAUUUUGAAGAUAUACAAAGAUAUUUAUACAUUAUCUAUAUAUUACACACACAUAUAUAUAUAUAUAUAUAUAUAUAUAUAUAUAUAUAUAUUAUGUACCGAUUUGACGAUAAAGAAGAACUUCGUUGUGUGUGGCGAGUUCCCUAUCAAUCAGUUGAACAAAUUGAGUUACAUGUGGGUCGAUGGCAUAUCGGACACGUGAUGCGCCUUCGUACGUAUAACGCGAUCAAAUGAGCCUGCGUUUGCUCACGUACACGUACUUACGUAUACGUAUUGUGUUUCCCGCUUCGUAACCAGACGAUCGUUGGACGCCAUUCAUAUUUUUCUUGGCUUUCGGUCAUAUGUCAGGGUCGAUAGGUGAUCAUAUGUGCAUAUACAUUUGUACAUAUAUAUAUAUAUAUAUAUAUAUAUAUAUAUAAAUAUAUAUACUACAAUCUGAAGAUGGAAAUUAGGAUGACGUUGCAGUUUUCUUUAAGAUUUAUUUUUUAAUCGAAUAUAUAUGCUCGUAAGCGAAUGCGUUCAUGAAAAUACGAAAUAAGAAAUAGAAUGAACGCGAAAAUAAGGCGUGAGCUUGCAUUGACUCUGAUCGUCGUUCUUGAUCGAU